rnacentral:tRNA from 1 species
GAGGGAGAGGUGGUUGCCAUCACCGGCGUUCUCGGCGCCGGCAAAAGCCGUCUUCUGUCCACGCUGUUCGGUCUUGGCGCCUUCUCG